CAAGGCGUCGACGGGUAGCCGGCCUGAGAGGGUGACCGGCCACACUGGGACUGAGACACGGCCCAGACUCCUACGGGAGGCAGCAGUGGGGGAUAUUGCACAAUGGGCGCAAGCCUGAUGCAGCGACGCCGCGUGAGGGAUGACGGCUUUCGGGUUGUAAACCUCUUUCGCUACCGAACAAGGCUCCAUAUUGGUGGGGUUGAGGGUAGGUGGAUAAGAAGCGCCGGCUAACUACGUGCCAGCAGCCGCGGUAAUACGUAGGGCGCGAGCGUUGUCCGGAAUAUUGGCGUAAAGAGCUCGUAGGCGGCUUGUCGCGUCUGCUGUGAAAACGCGGGGCGUUAACUCCGCGCGUGCAGUGGGUACGGGCAGGCUAGAGUGUGGUAGGGGGUGACUGGAAUUCCUGGUGUAGCGGUGGAAUGCGCAGAUAUCAGGAGGAAACACCGAAUUGGGCGAAGGCAGGUCACUGG
rnacentral:rRNA from 1 species